CCCCAAACGGCGAUUACGUCCUUCACAAUCUAGGGUCCAUGUGCGAUACCUCCUCUUCUUUGCUACGAUCCAGGAUCAAACCCUAGAUUCCCUGCUCCUCCAUCGACGCUCCAUCUCGAUUCGCACUGGGAUCUUCAGACGUCUUCAAAUCAAGCCCAGGGUUUCUUGAUCUUCGAUCGCUUUUCUUUUCUAACAGUUAAAUGUGGUCGACACCAAGAUUUGAUGAAGUAUUUACAGAAUAUGCUUCUCAAAAACGAGUUUAUGAGGUAGUAGCAAAACCUGUAGUUGAGGGUGUGUUAAAUGGGUAUAACGGAACGAUUAUGGCUUAUGGUCAAACAGGAACCGGAAAAACGUAUACGCUUGGCAAGUUAGUCAAGGAUGAUGCAUCUAAGAGUGGAUUUUGCUUCGGGCUCUGGAAGACAUCAUUUAUGGUGCAUCUUCAGCAUCUGAUAGUAUUGAAAUCUCCUAUCUGCAGAGCCGCCAUGGUUUCUCAAUUAGCCAUCAAUAAGAUGAAGGCAAACCCACCCUAAAUCUCAAAACUUUAAAGCACAAAUCUGCAUUCAAACCCUGCCACCAUGAUUCUCAUAAGAUCAUUUGGUAUGCUUUCAUCAAUCAUGGUGGCAGCUAUGUAUGGGUGCGAGUUGUAAGCAAUUUAUUUGACUAGGGCAAGGUUCACUCUUCUAGGGGUUGAUAUUGGUAUACCGGGUUAGAUAUAACUAUGGUGAGCAUUAAUUCAAAAUGAAUCUGGUCAACUUGUGCCGGUUUAUCACAAGUGAGAUAAUUUAUCUAUGCUAUCUAAUAAAAAACUGAUUUUAAAUGCUUGGGUACCUAUAAUGAGAUUGUGGGAUUUUAUUUGCAACAAUGGCAACCGGAGCUGUUCCAGCUUCUUUUAUGACUUUGAAGGGCAGAGGCAAUGGUUUGGAGCUUGCAAAAACCUCAGAUUUUGUUAAAGUUUCAGAUCCGAGUAACCAGUGGGUAAGGACUGAUUAGUGAUCGACGAACCACCAAACAACCCAUAGACGACCCGUCAUCACUGCUCGACUCCAUGUUGCUUCAAUCGUCACUUCGGUGCAUAGCAUGUUUUGGUAGCAGUUGCAGAGCUCUAUUUGGCAGGAAACUACCUGGUAUUCAUAACCAAAUGUAAUUACAAUCACAUGAUUCUCUUCAAGUUCGAUGAAAUGGUUCUAUUGUUUUCAGGAGUUAUGCAAACCAAGAAGAUUAAGAUAUUGCCAAAAAUGAGAUGUUUGAAGGUGGGAUCUUGCAAUGUCGAUGUUGAAGAUGCAAUACACAUGUUUAUCUGUAACUGGGAUACUUAUUUCAUUUAGUUAUUGUAAGUUUAACUAAGAUUUUGAUGGAGUGAUUUCAAAAGCUCUAUAGAGAUCACCGUAUAGUCUCUCCCUUAUUAUAUAAUGGGUGAGAUCACCACUCGUUUCCCAUGUACAAAGAAGUUAUCGUCGUCUACAAGAUUAAUUAUUCGUGACUCAACUAUUUUGUUCAUUUCUUUUGUAAUUAAGUUUGAAAUAUUGAUUUUGUUUCUUCCAGGUGGUGUUUCUGACCGUAUGGGUCGUGAUUUUACUGCUGCGGAUGUGUCAAUUGUUGUUGCUGAUAUCAUAUUUUCUGGACUAGAAGAGGCUUCUUUAUCUGAACAUGGAAGCAGCAUUGCACCAAAGACCCUGCGGCAAUCUAAAAAUCUAGAAACUUAUCCAAAAGGACACAAUGCUAGAAACCUAGCCCUGUUGGAGUUUUUUACAGCCAAACCCUAUUGGAGAGACGACGUUUUUAAAAACCAGACACAGGUACUAUCAUUGCUGAAGCUGUUGUAGGAAGUUGGUGAAGCAAAGAAAUGGAGCUACUGGUCAUUGUUCUUAGAAAUGGAAUUGCCGUAGAUAGCUUGGUAAGGUUUCCAGAUCUUGGAGGAAAAGACAAAAUUUUAGCACCAGGAAGCUAGAAGCUUUGUUUUUGCUAUGUUCAUGUUUUGGAUGGGUUUAGGGUUGGAUAGUGGUGGGAGGUUGAAGCAUGGCGGUAAUGAAGGUUUUAAUGUGUACGAGUUUGUAUCAAAACUCUAGAAAUGGAAGUAAUUUGAUGGAUGUAACAAACAACAGACAUUUUGGGAUUUAUUUUAUCUGCUUUAAUUUGUA